GUCGUAACAAGGUUUCACUAUGGAGACCAUGCAUCCUCCGGGAGGCUAGCGCGACUCCAUAAACAAAGCUGCCGUAUGCAAGUCAGCUUGCUGGCGAUACGAUCGAAUUGCGGGGACAUCCUAAAGCUCAGCAUACUCCCUAGCUAUGAAAGUAGCUAGCAUAGUUAUAACUGCUGAGAUGUACAAUGGACGAUCCGCAGCGAAGACCCUAAAGCGCAAGCUAUGGGUACCGUUCACAGACUAGGUGAUUGUAGGUAGGGUACUACUUAAGAUAUAGUCGAGCCCUGAGCGAAAGCCUGGGGAGUAAAAUGUCCGUAGGUGAACCUGCGGAAGGAUCAUUAAUAGAGAUAAGGAUGACAGCGCCCCGUGAGCCCGCUCUCGGGGGCUACCCUACUUGUAGGGUUUAGAGUCGACGGGCCUCUUUGGAGGAUACUCGGUCCUGACCUCCACCCUUGAAUAAAUUACCUUUGUUGCUUUGGCAGGCCGCCUAGUGCCAGCGGCUUCGGCUGUUGCGUGCCUGCCAGAGGACCACAACUCUUGUUUCUAGUGAUGUCUGAGUACUAUAUAAUAGUUAAAACUUUCAACAACGGAUCUCUUGGUUCUGGCAUCGAUGANAACGCAGCGAAAUGCGAUAAGUAAUGUGAUUGCAGANUCAGUGAAUCAUCGAAUCUUUGAACGCACAUUGCGCCCCCUGNAUUCGGGGGCAUGCUGUUCGAGCGUCAUNNAACCACUCAGCUCUGCUGUCUGGGGUCGUGUCUUCGCNGNCUUAAAUCAGUGGCGGUGCCUAUCGCUCUACGCGUAGUAAUACUCCUCGCGUCUGAGUCCGGUGGGUUUACUUGCCAGUAACCCCCAAUUUUUACAGGUUGACCUCGGAUCAGGUAGGGAUACCCGCUGAACUUAAGCAUAUCAAUAAGCGGAGGAAAAGAAACCAACAGGGAUUACCUCAGUAACGGCGAGUGAAGCGGUAAUAGCUCAAAUUUGAAAGCUAGCUCUUCUAGGGUUCGCAUUGUAAUUUGUAGAAGAUGCUUCGAGUGUGGUCCCGGUCUAAGUUCCUUGGAACAGGACGUCAUAGAGGGUGAGAAUCCCGUAUGUGACUGGGUACUUUCGCUCAUGUGAAGCUCUUUCGACGAGUCAAGUUGUUUGGGAAUGCAGCUUAAAAUGGGUGGUAUAUUUCAUCUAAAGCUAAAUAUUGGCCAGAGACCGAUAGCGCACAAGUAGAGUGAUCGAAAGAUGAAAAGCACUUUGGAAAGAGAGUUAAACAGUACGUGAAAUUGUUGAAAGGGAAGCGCUUGUAACUAGACUUGCGCGCUGAUGAUCAUCUAGGCUUCUGUCUGGUGCACUCGUCUGCGCUCAGGCCAGCAUCAAUUCUGGUGCUGGGAUAAAGGCCUUAGGAAUGUAGCUCCUCUCGGGGAGUGUUAUAGCCUUCGGUGCAAUGCCGCCUAUCGGGAUUGAGGACCGCGCUUCGGCUAGGAUGCUGGCGUAAUAGUUAUAAGCGACC
rnacentral:rRNA from 1 species